CAGUCGCCACGGUAAUACGUAGGGUGCAAGCGUUAAUCGGAAUUACUGGGCGUAAAGCGUGCGCAGGCGGUUAUAUAAGACAGAUGUGAAAUCCCCGGGCUCAACCUGGGAACUGCAUUUGUGACUGUAUAGCUAGAGUACAGCAGAGGGGGAUGGAAUUCCGCGUGUAGCAGUGAAAUGCGUAGAUAUGCGGAGGAACACCGAUGGCGAAGGCAAUCCCCUGGGCCUGUACUGACGCUCAUGCACGAAAGCGUGGGGAGCAAACAGGAUUAGAUACCCCUGUAGUCCCUGUCUCUUAUAC
rnacentral:rRNA from 1 species